rnacentral:lncRNA from 1 species
CAGCCCACCCGCGCCGCAGCCGGAGGAGGGGCGCUCUCCUCGCGCGCCGGCCGCCGGCGAUCCCGAGUUCCGGGUGCCGCGCGACCCCGCCGCCACUGUGAGGCGCCCCCGCGGGGAUCCCGGAGGCCAGUAGGGGAGAGGCCGAGCGAGGUUGCACCUGCCCCCCCCCCCGCCGCCCCGAGUCCGCGAGAGGUCUGGGGGCCUCGCCCGCAGCCCCACUCCUCUCCGGCUGGCCCACGGAGGAGACCUGGAGGCCUCCGCGGCGGAAGCAGUGGGCAGUGGGAGAGGCUGGGGCGCCUGUGCCGGGGUGCGGGAGCUGCGGGCCAAGCGAGCAUCAAAACUCAGGCCGUGCGGGUCCCCGCUUCCGGAGCCGCCGGGGGACUCGGGCGGGGCCGGCGCCAGCGAGGUCGCCGUGGUUGGAGGUGGCGGGGAAGGUGCGGGCCUCGCUUCCUGAGAGAACUCCCUCCGGGUUAACUGCUAGAGAGGGCUCGCUGGGUUUUCUCCGGAGUUUGGACUUUGGUACUUUCAUCGAGAUUUUCCUCCCGGGGCCCUGCCCAGAACUUGCCUUUUCUCCAUCAGGUCCUGCCAGAGCUCACAUGGGAGCUAUGAUGACUUGA